rnacentral:rRNA from 1 species
AGUGAACGCUGGCGGUAGGCCUAACACAUGCAAGUCGAACGGCAGCACAGUAAGAGCUUGCUCUUACGGGUGGCGAGUGGCGGACGGGUGAGGAAUACAUCGGAAUCUACUUUUUCGUGGGGGAUAACGUAGGGAAACUUACGCUAAUACCGCAUACGACCUACGGGUGAAAGCAGGGGAUCUUCGGACCUUGCGCGAUUGAAUGAGCCGAUGUCGGAUUAGCUAGUUGGCGGGGUAAAGGCCCACCAAGGCGACGAUUCGUAGCUGGUCUGAGAGGAUGAUCAGCCACACUGGAACUGAGACACGGUCCAGACUCCUACGGGAGGCAGCAGUGGGGAAUAUUGGACAAUUGGCGCAAGCCUGAUCCAGCCAUACCGCGUGGGUGAAGAAGGCCUUCGGGUUGUAAAGCCCUUUUGUUGGGAAAGAAAAGCAGCAGGUUAAUACCCCGCUGUUCUGACGGUACCCAAAGAAUAAGCACCGGCUAACUUCGUG